GGGUAAUCUGGCUGCGACCUCUUUCACCCCUUCUAUCCCCAGGGUUGAUUCAGUUGAUAUGGCUCACAAGUUGAGUGUCCCCUUAUGUGUGUCCCUCCCAAAGCUACCCAUGCUCAGUUGAAGAGGUUGACCAUACCCAAAGAGGAGGACCAUUUCCUCAGUCAAGGGUAUACAAGUGGCUUCGCUCCCCUGAUGAAUCUCCAAACAAGCUCUCAAGAAUUGAUAGGAAAAGUGCAGUGAUAGUUGGGGAACAGACACAGUUAAACUAUUUCUUAAUAAACUCUUCUUU
rfam:Heterocephalus glaber contig203566, whole genome shotgun sequence.